rnacentral:rRNA from 1 species
UUUGAAGGGUUUGAUCCUGGCUCAGAACGAACGUUGGCGGCGUGGAUUAGGCAUGCAAGUCGAACGAGAAACCCUGGGCAACUGGGGUGGAAAGUGGCGAAAGGGGCAGUAAUGCGUGGGUAACCUACCCUGGGGAUCGGAAUAGCCAUCCUAACGGAUGGGUAAUACCGAGCGAUGUAACGAGGGGGCAUCUCCUUGUUACCAAAUGAAUUUCGCCCUGGGAGGGGCUCACGUCGUAUUAGCUUGUUGGUGAGGUAACGGCUCACCAAGGCAAAGAUGCGUAGCGGGUGUGAGAGCACGACCCGCGCCACUGGCACUGAGACACUGGCCAGACUCCUACGGGAGGCUGCAGUCGAGGAUCUUCGGCAAUGGGCGCAAGCCUGACCGAGCGACGCCGCGUGCGCGAUGAAGGCCUUCGGGUUGUAAAGCGCUGUCGAGGGGGAGAAAAGCCCGCAAGGGUCUGAUCUAUCCCUGGAGGAAGCACGGGCUAAGUUCGUGCCAGCAGCCGCGGUAAGACGAACCGUGCGAACGUUGUUCGGAAUCACUGGGCUUAAAGGGCGCGUAGGCGGUCGAUCAAGUCUGGGGUGAAAUCUUUCGGCUUAACCGGAAAAGUGCCUGGGAUACUGAUCGGCUGGAGGGAGGUAGGGGGAGCUGGAACUUCCAGUGGAGCGGUGAAAUGCGUUGAUAUUGGAAGGAACUCCGGUGGCGAAAGCGAGCUCCUGGACCUCUUCUGACGCUGAGGCGCGAAAGCUAGGGGAGCAAACGGGAUUAGAUACCCCGGUAGUCCUAGCCCUAAACGAUGGGUACUAGGUUGUGGACUUAACAUGGGUUCACAGCCGAAGCAAAAGUGUUUAGUACCCCGCCUGGGGAGUAUGGUCGCAAGGCUGAAACUCAAAGGAAUUGACGGGGGCUCACACAAGCGGUGGAGCAUGUGGCUCAAUUCGAGGCUACGCGAAGAACCUUAUCCUGGACUUGACAUGUGCGAAAGCGCUAGGAAGUAGGGAGCGGAAACGUUUCCCCAACGGUAUCCAGUCCGGAACCUAGUACAGGUGCUGCAUGGCUGUCGUCAGCUCGUGUCGUGAGAUGUCGGGUUAAGUCCCAUAACGAGCGAAACCCUUGUUUCCAGUUGCCAGCGGGUCAUGCCGGGGACUCUGGAAAGACUGCCGGUGUUAAACCGGAGGAAGGUGGGGAUGACGUCAAGUCCUCAUGGCCUUUAUGUCCAGGGCUGCACACGUGCUACAAUGGCGCAUACAAAGGGACGCCAACGCGCGAGCGGGAGCAAAUCCCAAAAAAUGCGCCCCAGUUCAGAUUGCAGGCUGCAACUCGCCUGCAUGAAGUUGGAAUCGCUAGUAAUCGCAGGUCAGCAACACUGCGGUGAAUGUGUUCCUGAGCCUUGUACACACCGCCCGUCAAGCCACGAAAGAUCGGGGCAUCCGAAGCCGGUGUCACAGCCGUCGAAGAUGAAACGGUCGAUUGGGACUAAGUCGUAACAAGGUAACCGUAGGGGAACCUGCGGUUGGAUCACCUCCUUUCU